rnacentral:rRNA from 1 species
GAUCCGCUCAGGAUGAACGCUAGCUACAGGCUUAACACAUGCAAGUCGAGGGGAAACGACAUCGAAAGCUUGCUUUUGAUGGGCGUCGACCGGCGCACGGGUGAGUAACGCGUAUCCAACCUGCCCAUCACUUGGGAAUAACCUUGCGAAAGUAAGACUAAUGCCCAAUGAUAUCCCACGAAGGCAUCCGAAUGGGAUUAAAGAUUUAUCGGUGAUGGAUGGGGAUGCGUCUGAUUAG